AUCCAGACUCCUACGGGAGGCAGCAGUGGGGGAUAUUGCACAAUGGGGGGAACCCUGAUGCAGCGACGCCGCGUGGGUGAAGGAGCGUUUCGGCGCGUAAAGCCCUAUCGGCAGGGAAGAAGGAGGACGGUACCUGACUAAGAAGCCCCGGCUAACUACGUGCCAGCACCCGCGGUAAUACAUAGGGGGCAAGCGUUAUCCGGAUUUACUGGGUGUAAAGGGUGCGUAGGCGGCCCUGCAAGUCAGAAGUGAAAUCCAUGGGCUUAACCCGUGAACUGCUUUUGAAACUGCAGGACUUGAGUGGAGUAGAGGUAGGCGGAAUUCCCGGUGUAGCGGUGAAAUGCGUAGAGAUCGGGAGGAACACCAGUGGCGAAGGCGGCCUACUGGGCUUUAACUGACGCUGAAGCACGAAAGCGUGGGUAGCAAACAGGAUUAGAUACCCCCGUAAAU
rnacentral:rRNA from 1 species